ensembl:misc_RNA Metazoa_SRP Metazoan signal recognition particle RNA
GUCGGGUGUGGUGGUGGGCGCCUGUAGUCCCAGCUACUCUGGAGGCUGAGACAGGAGAAUUGCUUGAACCCGGGAGGUGGAGGUUGCAGUGAGCCAAGAUCAUGCCACUGCACUCCAGCCUGGGUGACAGAGCAAGACUCUGUCUCAA